AUUUUUUCAGAUUUUUAUACAUAUGAAUUGUUGCUUUCAGUGUUCUCUUAACCAAUGAAAGUAAAGAUGCUCAAAGGCUAAAUAUAAAGAAGAUAAAUUUCAUUUCUCUUGAUUAUUCUCUUUAGGGUUUAAGAUUACAUCAUGUUUCCUUUCAUAGGCAUUAUAAUCUUAGUGACACUAGGGUUUUCACUGACACAUGUCAGGUCUCUAUUGAUCCUAGACAGUCAAAACAGUUUUGUAAAACCACUCCUUCUUUUCCAGCACAGCUCCUUGUUUUUGUCCUUUGAUCCAAUCUUGAUGUACUUUUGGUUUUGUCUUCUUUUGCAGGAGAUGACCGUUGGAGCUGAGAGUUGUUUAGGGUCUGCGCUUGGGCCUGUUGUUUAUUGGGCUUGAGGUUUGCUGCAUUCUCAAUUUGGCCCAAUCUCAGAACCUUCUUGAUAAUGUCAUCUGAAGAAUUUACCUUUACAGAUUCCUCUGCUUCGUGUCCGAUCACAGCUCUGAUCUGGUUCUUCUCUUCACCAAUCCGAGUUGUUGUCUCAACACAAGAUGCAUUCUCUCUAAUAGCCCCCCGCAAACUCGGCGUAGGUGGAACAUCGACGCCUAGUUUGUAACGAAGAUCGCAGAACGGCUUGAUGGGGAGAGAUUUGGUGAAGAUGUCCGCGAUCUGUUGAUGACCAGGUAUGUGCUUCACAAUCAGAGCUCCAAGUGCUACUCUCUCUCGAACAUAAUGAUAGUGUAGCUGAAAGUGUUUACUUCUUUUGUGGAAAGCUGGAUUCGCAGAGAGAUACACGGAGGAGAGAUUGUCGCAAUAGAUUUCUGGAGUGUCAAGUAGAGGAAUGCCCAAUUCCUUGAGAACAGAUCCUAACCAGGUUACCUCCGAGGCAGUGUCAGACAGAGUUCGAUAUUCAGCUUCGGUUGAGCUUUUGGAGACUGAAUCUUGCUUUUGUGAGGACCAUGAGAUGAUAU
rnacentral:sRNA from 1 species